rnacentral:rRNA from 1 species
UACGUAGGGUGCAAGCGUUAAUCGGAAUUACUGGGCGUAAAGCGUGCGCAGGCGGUGAUGUAAGUCAGUUGUGAAAUCCCCGGGCUCAACCUGGGAAUUGCAUCUGUGACUGCAUCGCUAGAGUACGGUAGAGGGGGAUGGAAUUCCGCGUGUAGCAGUGAAAUGCGUAGAUAUGCGGAGGAACACCGAUGGCGAAGGCAAUCCCCUGGACCUGUACUGACGCUCAUGCACGAAAGCGUGGGGAGCAAACAGG